ensembl:lncRNA
AUGUCAUGUGAUUGUUCUGAAAAAAGAACAAUGAAAAAUAAAGAAAAUAAUAGAGUUGCUUCCUGGUUUAAAGUUGAGCUUUAAAAGGCACAAAAAUUAGAUUGAUCACUGCCCUGUGAGGAUCAUGGUGAACCUCUCCACACUCACCAGGGCCCGGCUGGAUCGUGUCAUCUGCUCUGCAAGCCUCACAUCACAGCAGCUGCACAUCUGCAGGGCCCAGAGACAAGCCGCCGGGAUCGCAGCGGGCCACUCCCACCACGCACAGCCACUCCCACUCUGGCAGGAGGCUCUGGUCCAUUGGAACAAAGACCUGCUGCUUCAGAACUUAAUUGUUUCAGAAAUGAAGAAUACUGUAGAUUAAAAAACCACAAGAUCUUUUGAACUUUAACCAAACGCGUCGGGAAAAGGAUCAAGUAAAUGAAAAAGUGAAGGCUGCUGCGUUCCGUUAACAUUUUCAAACACUCACAUUGACUUUACAGCUGAAACAGAUUCCUAAGACAUUAAUCUUUAAUGUUUCCAGCUUUAGUGCUGACAGAACAGAACACAUCACGAAUGUUAUACCAGAGAAUUCUUUGUCCAAAUAUGACAUUUUUCUGUUGCUUUUGAUGACUACCCAGUCAUGUGUAGCGUUCCCCAAACCAGACAAACCUCAGAAGAGGAUAUUUAUAGCUGCUCUACUUUUCUCUGCAGGAGAUCAACAAGUCACAGACUUUCUGCUCCAAAGAGUAUCAACAUUACAAGCAGGUGCUCGGGAUCAACUAAUAAAAGCAGAUGCCUCCAACCUUCAAGGUCUCCCACGUGUCGGCAGCUAUUUUAACCAGGGAGCCAAGAAACAGGACGAAAGCAGCUUCAGGCGUGACGGGUCCGUCAGUCAUAGAGCAGAGUCUAUGCUCAAACAUUUCUAUUGCUCCACCGUUUUUAGAGGCUGAAACAAAUGAUUUGUGAAUGUCUAAUUUCUUUGUCUUGAUCUUAUUUUUUUGGAUUCUAAAUUGUGUUAUUUAAGUGAAACUGCUUUUCUUUGUGUUUUGAUUUUUUACCAUACCACCUUAAAGAAGAGGAUGGGAGUUUGACAAAAAAACAUACGGGUUACUUGAAGGAAGCAUGGCUGAAAUGGUCAGGGAACAAUCAUUUUACAAACCACUUUUACGGACAAAAAUCUAAUUUUUCCAAAUAACCCACUAAACUUUACUUAACCUUUUUUCUAGCCUUUUCCUCUAGAGGUCGCACCAGGCCUGACAGAGUAAGGAAGUGAUACCAACAACCCAUUAAUGAUCACGGGAGGGGGGUACAGGCUUUACCCCAAUGGCAAGGAUCCGUGUCAGCUUAACGCGUGAGCGGGGAAUUAAGCUGAAUGAAAACAUCGACACCCCACCCGUUUCAUUCAGAGGAAGAACGCCACCAUAAACCUAACACACACUCACACACACGUUCAGUGCAGCCGUUACAGUUUUAAUCAGUGGACAUUCAGCAGAAAUCAUACUUUAUCAUAAUGAUUUACAACUGGGGUAGAACAGUGGAACAGUGGACAGCACUUUCUCCUCACAGUGAUGGAGUUGGAAUCCCGGUUGGGACCUUUCUGUGUGGAGUUUGCAUGCUCUCCUGGUUCAUGUGUGGCUUUUCUCCGUCUUCCUUGCACAGUCCAACCAGAUGCUUCAUGUCUCUGUGUGGUCCUGCGACGGCUGGAGAACUGUAGAGUGACCCCCCCCCCCAUUCACCCAUCAGCAGCUGUGUAGGCUCCAGUGACCCCAUGACCCCCAACAAUAGGCAGGUAUCAAAAAUAAAUUACUUUAAAAAACCACCAAAAAAAACAUUUCAAAGCAGCUCAUUUAGAAAAUGAAAAUGUACCAGUUUAAACUAAAGUAAAAGUUUUUUUUUAUUAUUAUUCAAACUUAUGAAACAUCUCAACUUUUCCAGGAUUCAUCUGUACUUUCUUUAUUUUUGGCGAUGAUAAACUGAUUCAGUGUUUUAAUUCUAAUGUUUAUCAGAUCAUCGAAGAAGCGAAAAUUCAAGCUCAGACACAUAGAACCCAGAAUUUAAUGAAAACCCCAAAAUAAAAAAUGUCUGCAGACGAGGUAAAGUGGUAAUUUACAGAAAAAACAUUCACACUACAGCUGUGUUAAAUGUAACCACAAGGGGCGCAAUCCAGGGAUUAUGUGUGCCAGUCCCAAGUCUGAGGAAACGCAGACAGUUGUGUCACGAAGGACGUCAUGUGGGAAACAUAAUGAGGAACUCAAGUGGAAUAAUGAGGUUACAGGGGGCGGAGGUGAAGAAGGUGGAGGACUUUAAGCACUGGGGGUCACAAGUCCAGAUCAACAGAGUGUGGGAAAGAAGUGGAGAUGUACGCAACCGGUUGGAAAGGGUGGAGGAAGGUUUCAGGUGUAAUGUGUGACUAAAAAAAUGUCAGCAGAAUGAAGGGAAAUGUGUAGAAGACUUUGAGGGAAGCAGCCAUUAGAGUGAGAAAGAGG